CCUACGGGAGGCAGCAGUGAGGAAUCUUGGUCAAUGGACGAGAGUCUGAACCAACCAAGUAGCGUGAAGGAUGACUGCCCUAUGGGUUGUAAACUUCUUUUAUAAAGGAAUAAAACGAGGCACGUGUGCCUUUUUGCAUGUACUUUAUGAAUAAGGAUCGGCUAACGCCGUGCCAGCAGCCGCGGUAAUACGGAGGAUCCGAGCGUUAUCCGGAUUUAUUGGGUUUAAAGGGAGCGUAGAGGGGUGGUUAAGUCAGUUGUGAUAGUUUGCGGCUCAACCGUAAAAUUGCAAUUGAUACUGGCAGUCUUGAGUACAGUUGAGGUAGGCGGAAUUCGUGGUGUAGCGGUGAAAUGCUUAGAUAUCACGAAGAACCCCGAUUGCGAAGGCAGCUUACUAAACUGUGACUGACAUUGAUGCUCGAAAGUGUGGGGAGCAAACAGGAUUAGAUACCCUAGUAGUC
rnacentral:rRNA from 1 species